CCUGACCAGCGACGCCGCGUGGAGGAAGGAGCCCUUCGGGGUGUAAACUCCUGUUGUAAGGGAAGAACUCUUGACGGUACCUUACGAGGAAGCCCCGGCAAACUACGUGCCAGCAGCCGCGGUAACACGUAGGGGGCGAGCGUUGUCCGGAAUUACUGGGCGUAAAGCGCACGCAGGCGGAUGCGCGCGUCGGCUGUGAAAGGUACCGGCUCAACCGGUGAAUUGCGGUCGAUACGGCGCAUCUGGAGUGCGGGAGAGGGAAGCGGAAUUCCCGGUGUAGCGGUGAAAUGCGUAGAUAUCGGGAGGAACGCCGGUGGCGAAGGCGGCUUCCUGGCCCGCAACUGACGCUCAUGUGCGAAAGCCAGGGGAGCGAACCGGAUUAGAUACCCGGGUAGUCCUGGCCGUAAACGAUGGACGCUAGGUGUGGGCGGUUUAUCCGUCUGUGCCGCAGUUAACGCGUUAAGCGUCCCGCCUGGGGAGUACGAUCGCAAGGUUGAAACUCAAAGGAAUGGACGGA
rnacentral:rRNA from 1 species